AAAAUGGAUUUUUUUCCUCUCCUGCAGCUUGUUAAACUCUUUCCUUUUGUGUUGUGUUCCUCCUUUCAAAUACCAUCUGUGCAGGCUGUCUAAAUCACCUCCAUCCUCUCCUAGCAACCUUUUGCCUUCAUACUAACCCCUCAAUCUAUUCAAUGUAAUUUGCAGAGAAAUUUGCAGCUGAUGAGGUGCCAGCUGGGCAUAGUUUUAAGAUAGCUUUCUGAAAGAACCAGGCUCCAGUUCAGUGCCAGUCUGUGGCCUUUUGUCAGUCACUCUACACUGGAGGCCGUCCAGGAGUCCAAAUCUGUUCUUAAAAAGAGAAAGGCCUGGGGACUGGUGACCUAACAGUGGUAUUAGGAGAGCAAGCCAAGGUUCUGAGAAAAAAGUAGUUAGGGAAGGCCUGUUUUAUUCUUCUGAACUAAAGAGACUACUGAAAUAGAUAAGAGAAAGAUAAAGCUAGAAAAUACACUUCAGAACAGAAUAUAAGUUGCAAAAAAUAAACAAGUAACUGUCUUAAAAACAGAACACUAGCAAUCUACAAGCCUGGUGGCAGUGACAGUGUGCCACAAGUGACUCGUCUCUGCUGCUAGGAUACAGGUGGCUCCAGGCAGCUGGCCAGAACACUCAGCCUACUCUACACACCACCAUACUGUGCCUCAUAUCACUUAUUUCGUCUAGACCGAGGAGGAAGUUUACCUUACCCGUGUUUCAGACGAGCGCCAGGAGAAGAGCUUUGAAGUGGAGCAAUCAGUGUGGGAAACAGUCACAACAAAGGAUGUGCAAAUCCACUUCAAAGCAAGACUCUGCUUCAUAGCUCAUCUGUAGUUUAUUUGCUUGAAGGAUUUUACGUAUUGGAAACAAGAACCUAGGACCAAGGUUUUUCAGUGUUCUCUUCAUCUAUUUCUCCAACUUUCAAGCCUCAGAAAGAAUGUAUUCUCAGAAAAGAAAUCCGUGGAGGUUUAGUGGCAGUUGCUGAUCACCUUUACAUGUACUUCACUCUCAGAAAUUUAUUAAAAUCUGCAGGUGAAUGAGGCAGCAUAAUUCCUAUGCUUGUCACUGAAUUCUUUUGAAGCAGAUACAACUUCUGAUGUUUUAGCUAAUCCUGACACCAAAGGAGAAUGCUUCAUCUAUAAUUCAAAGACUAAUCUGCAAGCUUUCUUAAUAUAGUACCUAAAGCAGAGAAUGUAAAUCCAUCUCAAAAAUACUGUUUUGACGUUCCUUUUCCUUCACAGCGUCUCUGUUAUUUUGAACACUGGAUGCAUUACAUGAUUCUUUUAAAGGAAAAAUGAACUGUUACAUAUUUAUCCUUACUUCUUUCCAAUUAGCAAAAAGAGAAAUGUGAACCAUGGAAAAAACAGUUUAAAUUUGUUCUCUAUACAACAGUGUGUGGUAGUGCCUUUCGAACUAUCUGAGAAAUAAAGGUAAAGUCUGCCAAAUGAAACAUUUCCUGGAUAUACUGGGAUAUACUGAAACUAUAAACUACAUAAAAUUUGCAGAAUUAAAGACAGAACAAGGCGUGGGAAAACUAGUGGUAAAUGGUCAAAUUUAAGAGAAAUGUGAAUUGAACUGCACUAGAAGACUAAAGCAUAUAAACAGGAAAAUAGCUACAAACAUGGAAAACAAACUGAGGAGUAAAAUGAAAUUAUUUUUUUUUAAAUUUAAGAUAGAAGAAAAUGUAAACAAUUAUGGCUGACAAUUUGAUUACCAUCUUCCUCCUCCAUUAGAAUUCCCUAUCCCUGGUAUCACAAGUUUAAAAGGAAAAUACAGUAUUAUUUCAAAGCCAGAGAAUAUUUUUUGAACAUUUUAUUUCUCUAUUAUGUUUUAUGCUUUGUCAACUUACUUUUCACAUACAGUUUUCUUCAGGGGAAUCAGUAGCCAGAGGAAAAAAAAUGCACCGAGUACACAAAACUAAAUAUUCUUCAUUACAAAAUCUAGACAGAAAAAUUAAAGCUCUUGCAUUAAGGCUGGUCAAUAGGCUUAUACCUCGGGAACAAACACACUGAAAGAUAUGCAUACUC